rnacentral:rRNA from 1 species
CCCUGCCAUUUGUACACACCGCCCGUCGCUCCUACCGAUUGAAUGGUCCGGUGAAAUCUUCGGAUUUCGGGAGUUUGUUGCAGUUGGCUCUGCUGGCUGCAUCGCCUGAGAGAAGUUGAUUAAACCUU